CGUCUUUGUCCUUCCUUGUCUCCAGUUAAAGCUUAUGCAAUCAGAGCUGAACGUUGAAGAGGUUGUCAAUGACAGAAGUCUGAAGGUUUUCAGUGAGAGGUGCAGAAUCCACUACACGCCUCCCAAGGUGAAGUGAAGCUCCGCCCGAAGCUUUACUCGAGGUCCAAGUCCAGACUGGAGCUGAGAGUGUGUGUCCUGCUGUGGAGCGUACACACACACACACACACACACCCCUCUGACCUCCAACACACCUAUAUUCCAUGUGUGCAUUACUACAGCUGUAACACAGUCAUGCCUGUGCUUCUCCAAAGGGAGCAAUUGUACAAAAAAAAAGAUGUUUUUUUAAAAAGACAAUGAAAUGUU